rnacentral:rRNA from 1 species
UGACCGUGCGAAGGUAGCAUAAUCAUUAGUCUUUUAAUUGAAGGCUUGUAUGAAUGGUUGGACGAGAAGUAAUCUGUCUCUGUUGAAAAAAUUGAAUUUAACUUUUGAGUGAGAAGGCUUAAAUGACCUAGAGGGACGAUAAGACCCUAUAAAGUUUAAUAUUACAGCAAUAGAAAAUUAAUUAGGUUAUAAGAUUUGUUAUUGUAGGUAGUAUUUUGUUGGGGCGACAAGAAUAUAAAUAAUUUAACUGUUCUUUUUUGUAUCAAAGAUAUUUGAGUUGAUGAUCUUUUUAAGAGUAAUAGAGUAAAUUACUUUAGGGAUAACAGCGUAAUUUUUUUUGAGAGUUCUUAUCGAUAAAAGAGUUUGCGACCUCGAUGUUGAAUUAAAGAUUCUUUAUAGUGCAGAAGCUAUACAAGAAGGUCUGUUCGACCUUUAAAUCUUUACAUGAUUUGAGUUCAGACCGGUGUGAGCCAGGUUGGUUUCUAUCU